rnacentral:RNase_P_RNA from 1 species
CGAGCUGAUUAUGCAGCCGCUGCUUUUGCAGAGGAAAGUCCGGGCUCCAAAGAGCAAAGUGCCAGGUAACGCCUGGGCAACGCAAGUUGACGGAAAGUGCCACAGAAAAUAAACCGCCUUCGGGUAAGGGUGAAAAGGUGCGGUAAGAGCGCACCACAAGGUUGGUAACAAUCUUGGUAAGGCAAACCCCACUUGGAGCAAGACCAAGCAAAGCUCGUUAAGCGCUGCUCGCGUGAUGAGCUUGGGUAGGUUGCUAGAGAAGUAUGGUGACAUGCUUCCCAGAUAGAUGGUUGCACACGACAGAACCCGGCUUAUCGAUCGGCUCAAUUA